GAGAUCCCUCUUCUGUGGAGGUUUUUCUGCAAACCUAGAUCUCUGGAUACAGGAAGGUAGCUGUGCCAUAUGGAUUGCGAUAUAAUGAUUGCCGUCUCUGUCUGGGCUCUGGCCAUUGCUCCAUGAAAGAUUAACAUCUCCAAGAUCUGUGUCUAAUACAUAAAUUAUUCGCGGAACUAUGUCACAUAAAGCUGCUUCACUUGACUAAUGGAAAAUAAGAAAUCAAUUGUUCAUCGAGAAUUGCCGCAUAAGUAAUGCUGCAAAGGUUGGGAUGAACAAUAUGCUACCUUCUCUGAUGAGCACUCUACUACAGAUCUUGACAGUUUUGAUCCCAGAUGAGCAGUCAUCUAAAGCUUGACACAAAGUGAAAUAUUUUCAGGAGCCUGGGCUGAGAUAGCCUCAUUCCUGAUGCCCAACAUGGAAUAUGUAUGCUGUUUGUAGAAGGUAAAAUGUUUUAAAUCCUCUUAGAGAAGAGAAUUAAACUGUGAUUUCCAAAUGACUUCUAAGUAACUGUAAGACUCAUAGAUAAAAACAGAUUUUAUUUAUUUCCUCAUUUAAAGAGAGUCUUUGAAAUAAAUCCUCUGUGACUAUGUCUGGCUCAACAAAUUCUAGCUCUGAAUUCAAACUUCAAGUUUAUGAAGGGGUCUCUUUACAUCUUGAAGAGAAAUUCAGCUUAAAGUACCCUAUUUACUGAUGUAUUAGGUUCAGCAGCUCCAUGUGCUCAGUCUUGUUAAUCCUGUUUUGAAGCGUUUAACUAUCCUAAUAAAUUAUGUAAGUCACCUAAAGCCACUUAAGGAUGUGGUUGUGUUGCAGGAGCCAGAUACAUGUAAAAUAUAUUGCUGUAUAUGCACUGUUAUGGUAGCUUUGCCUCUU